UGGUGUCACUACGAUUAUCAUCGGAUGUGAUGAAAAGGGAAUCAGGUGCAAAUCCUGAACAGACCCGCUGCUGUAAGCUCCGCCAAAAGUCUUUGAACAAUACUCAAAACCACUGUUUUGACAAGCUGUUAGCCAUUAGCUGAUAGUUGUUAGCAGAAAAAGCUAACUAGAAAUGGGAAGGGCGUUCAAAGAUGGAGUAAGUCAGAAGACCUGCCAAUAGACUU
rnacentral:ncRNA from 1 species